ACAUUUAAAAUGGGCAGAAUAAAUUUUAACGGAGUUUUGUUACUGAUGGUCCUUCAAAUAUUCUUGGUGGCUACAACAACUGGAGAUGAAACAUGUGAAUCAGACCGAAAAAUGGAAGAACAGUGCCGCCUUCAUAACUACAAAACUGUUAAACCUUUGCUAGAUUAUUUCAGGCAGGUUAGAAAUGAGAUAGAACAAAGUGAAACUAAGGAAAAGCAGAUAAGUGAAUUAAAUUCUGAUCUUAUGGAAAAAUAUCAUGAAAUUGUAAGAAUUCAUGAAACAUUCGUGAAGGAGGCAGCUCUAUUAAAUGAGUAUAAAACCAAAGUAAUCAAAGGGGAAAACGAUUUGCAAUUGUGUCAAAAUAAAG